CGGCGAGUGAAGCGGCAACAGCUCAAAUUUGAAAGCUGGCCCUUUUAGGGUCCGCGUUGUAAUUUGUAGAGGAUGAUUCGGCGAGGGCUCCCGCCUAAGUCCCCUGGAACGGGGCGUCAUAGAGGGUGAGAAUCCCGUAUGCGGUGGGCUGCCUUAGCCAUGUGAAUCUCCUUCGACGAGUCGAGUUGUUUGGGAAUGCAGCUCUAAAUGGGAGGUAAAUUUCUUCUAAAGCUAAAUACCGGCCAGAGACCGAUAGCGCACAAGUAGAGUGAUCGAAAGAUGAAAAGCACUUUGGAAAGAGAGUUAAAAAGUACGUGAAAUUGUUGAAAGGGAAGCGCUUGCAACCAGACUUGUCCGCAGUUGCUCAGCCGGUCUCCUGACCGGCGUACUCUUCUGCGGCCAGGCCAGCAUCAGUUCGGGCGGUCGGAUAAAGACCUCGGGAAUGUAGCUCCUCUCGGGGAGUGUUAUAGCCCGGGGUGGAAUGCGGCCAGCCUGGACUGAGGAUCUCGCUUCGGCAAGGAUGCUGGCGUAAUGGUUGUAAGCGGC
rnacentral:rRNA from 1 species